CAGCAGCCGCGGGAAUACGUAGGGUGCGAGCGUUAAUCGGAAUUACUGGGCGUAAAGCGUGCGCAGGCGGUUUUGUAAGACAGGCGUGAAACCCCCGGGCUCAACCUGGGAAUGGCGCUUGUGACUGCAAAGCUAGAGUGCGGCAGAGGGGGAUGGAAUUCCGCGUGUAGCAGUGAAAUGCGUAGAUAUGCGGAGGAACACCGAUGGCGAAGGCAAUCCCCUGGGCCUGCACUGACGCUCAUGCACGAAAGCGUGGGGAGCAAACAGGAUUAGAUACCCGCGUAGUCCCUGUCUCUUAUAC
rnacentral:rRNA from 1 species